rnacentral:lncRNA from 1 species
AUCUGUGCUGAUUUUAAUGUUAUUUAUGGUGUUAUUUUGUAUUAUAAAUUUCUGAAUUAAUUUUGUCAUUCUUGGGUCUCUGCCGUCAGAAGUAUAUCCUAGAUGUUUUUGUAUUUGAUCAGAAGCCUUCAUGAUGCAUAAUUGAAGGCAUCUAUGCAUUGUAUGUAGAUGAGGGACGCAGAUAUUUUGAUUUUAACCCUAGGUCAAGAGUUUAUACAUCAGAAAUUGUAUACCAGUUUUGGUGUUGGCGAUUACUGUCUAGAUGCCUGCCGAGGACUUUGACAUACUGAAGCUGCUGCUGUCAAGAAGAUGGUGUUCUUGCUCCUUAGAGCUGGUGUUGCUGCUGAACUUGAUAAUUCAAAAUGUCAUGCACUUCUCGUAUUGCUGCUGAACCUGAAAUGUGUCAUUCUUCCCGUUGUAUUGCUGCUGAACCUGUUGAUUGCCAGUAAAUAUUUCAUUCUUAGGAAAUCUCAAAGCUCCUUUGUUGUGCUGUAAGAAGGUGCAUGCUGCAUCAUAUUUGGCGAGCCUCGUGUUUUAUGUACAGGUUUUCUUUAUCAAAAUUCCUGUCAUGAUGCUGUUUUUCUACAUAUUGCAAAUGUUAAUCCUUCAAGCUAGGCUAAAUUAUAGGAUAAAUUUUGUGUUUGAUUAAUUGUGUUCGUGUUUUUUGUUCAACUGUAGUUUGGUGGUGCAUAUGUUUUACGGAUUGGCAUCAUAUAAGCUAGGCUAAAAUUAUAGGAUAAAUUUUGUGCUUUGAUUAAUGGUGUUCAUGUUUUUUUGUUCAAACUGUAGUUUGGUUGUUCAGAUGUUUUACAGAUUGCCAAUUCUUGAAAUGAUGCUGCUGCACUAAUUGUGGGUAGAAGUUCCAGUUGACCCUGAUUUUUUUGGUUACGGAUAAUCUACAGAUGUAUCUGUUCUGUUGAUUUGAUUCUAUAUUUUGUUGCAUAAUAACUGUUCUACCUGACGUUUUCGUAGGUUGAAUUUAAUAUGGACAAUCAAGUAAAUCUUAUUGAACUUGUCCAAUGCGCUGGUUGGAAACCUCUGUAAGUUGGCAUUUAGUU